rnacentral:lncRNA from 1 species
CAUCCCUGUUUUUGCUCGUGUAUACUUUUUUGUGAUCUAUAUAUCGGGUAUAUUUUAUCGAUGAUUCCACGGUCACAUUCUCUGUCUUUCUCAUUAGUAAAGCGCCCCCACCUCCCCGCUCUACCAAAACCACCAAACUUUUUUUAAUUUUGUAAAAGUUUAAUUUCGUGUUCAUAGUGUGCGAGCUAGAAGUGAAAGCUAAAUCGCUAAAUCGCGUGCGCUAUGCGUCAGAUUGGAAGGCAAGCAAAUCGUCUUCAUAUUCAUUUUAGCAUAAACUCGCAUUUUAGAUCACCCAGCCUGCGCGUGUGGUAACAAUUGUAGUAAAUCCGAGUUCCCAGUUCAAUUAGAAGUACAGAUUGCACUUCUUUAAAAUAUUCGGAUACGAUAUCUCGUUUUGGACAGUACAUAUGUACAUACCUAUAAAACUGUAAUAUCAAAUAAUGUAAUCAAAAUGUGUGUGUAACCAAAGCGCUUUGGGUUUUUUGAGAGAGCUCUUAGCUACUCCACUUCUUGGGUACAUACAUAUAUGUACAGAAGUAUGUCUGUGGUCAAACGCAUCCCCAAUAAUAAAGAAAAAAAAGAGCACCUUGCAGUCAAACCACAAUCUUGUUGAUGCUUACUCGCGUUUCUUGCACUUUUAAAGAGGUAAGUACAAUAAAAGUUUCAAUAAUACGUUCUCGAAAGCAAAAAAAUACAUAAAUGCAUACAUACGCAUUUGUGUGUAAAUUAUGUACAUAUGUACACACGCACGAUGCACCGCAGCAGAGAGACCACGUCGGUCAGCCUCUGGUAAACUUGAAAUGAA